AUUACCUGGGAGCAGGUAGGCAAGUGAUAUGCUGCUCCUUGCAUGCUGAGGGGGUUGGUUGCUGGAUUUACAGCUUUGGUUUUCAGUUUGUUUUCCAAAACACAAAUUCGUGGAACAAAGAGUCAUCGUCCUAGAGCUCUUACAAUAGUGCUGCCACUUCACUCGGUUGGCGUCUUGCUCUGCCACUGGUGCUCUUCCUAUGUUGAAUUACAACAGGCAAAUUAACCAAGACAUCAAUGAGCCAAUGCUGGUUUUAUCUCAAAUGUAAGUAAGUAGCCUCAUUUAUGCUGACUUUUGGAAAGGGUUCAUUUCUUCCUUCAGUAACCUCAGGUUGAAAUAAACAGAAUAAUAUGUCUUCUGUAAUUGUUUCUAAUAAUAAGCAGAGAAAGAAAACAAACCCUUUGAUUGGUUUAGCAUGCUCUUUGUGGAACCUUGUAAUAUCCCAGACUAACAAGAGUCUGCAUUUACCUGUGCAUUAAUGGAUGCGAGAACAACAAAUUCACUCACAGUGAUGAGUUCCCAUUGCCUUUAAUGAUGCCUCUGCUUCUUACAAGUGCAGCUAGGAAAAGUGCAGAGCAGUGUCAUUUGUUGCUUCCAAACACUGUUUAUUUUUUAUCUUUAUGCAAAGAAAAUAAGAGGCUGGGUUGACAGAAAAGCACAGCAAAGAGUCAGUCCAAUGGUCAAUUUCACAAGUGUCACAGUUGCCACCUCAUUGCAAAGCAAUACAAUUGAAAUGCAAUGGAUUAUCAUAAUCUUAACUGGAGUUGCAGUACCAUCAACAGAAACUUAGCAAAAUGAUUGCCUUUCACGAUGCUUUCUGGCAGUCAGAAUAGUCCUCUGAGAAAUGGAGCCAUCUUCUUCUUCUUCUUUGGCGAUCACUCAUAGCCGAGGAUGAUUGUCUUCCAUAAACACGGUUUUAACAAUGAGUCCGUAAGUGACUGUGGAGGCCAAUUCUGGAUCCACACGUCCUUCCACAGUGGGGACAUUUGUUUCUGGAUGGGAGUUGAUCACGGUGUGGAUUUGCCAAGCGUGCCUUCCUCUUAGCACGUUUCUCCCUUGCGUUCUGAGUUCAAGUGUCUUCAAAGUCCAUGGCAGCUUUGGUAAAGGCUGUUCUCCAACUGGAGCUCUCAAAGGCCAGUGUUUCCCAGUUGUCAGUGUUUAUACUACAUUUUUAAAGAUUUGCCUUGAGACAGUCUUUAAACCUCUUUUUUUUGACCACCGGAAUUACAUUUUCCAUUUUUAAGUUGGGAAUAGAGUAGUUGCUUUGGAAGACGAUAAUCAGGCAUCCACACAUGACCAGUCCAACGAAGUUGAUGUUGAAGAAUCAUUGCUUCAACACUGUCAAUCUUUGCUUUUUCCAGUACACUGGCAUUAGCUCGCCUGUCUUCCCAAGUGAUGUGUAAAAUUUUUCGGAGACACUGUUGAUGGAAUCUUUCGAGGAGUUGGAGAUGGUGUUUAUAAGUGGUCCAUGUUUCACAAGCAUACAGUAAGUUUGGUAGUACAAUAGCUUUGU